GACGAACGCUGGCGGCGUGCCUAAUACAUGCAAGUUGAGCGCUGAAGGUUGGUACUUGUACCAACUGGAUGAGCAGCGAACGGGUGAGUAACGCGUGGGGAAUCUGCCUUUGAGCGGGGGACAACAUUUGGAAACGAAUGCUAAUACCGCAUAAAAACUUUAAACACAAGUUUUAGGUUUGAAAGAUGCAAUUGCAUCACUCAAAGAUGAUCCCGCGUUGUAUUAGCUAGUUGGUGAGGUAAAGGCUCACCAAGGCGAUGAUACAUAGCCGACCUGAGAGGGUGAUCGGCCACAUUGGGACUGAGACACGGCCCAAACUCCUACGGGAGGCAGCAGUAGGGAAUCUUCGGCAAUGGACGAAAGUCUGACCGAGCAACGCCGCGUGAGUGAAGAAGGUUGUCGGAUCGUAAAACUCUGUUGGUAGAGAAGAACGUUGGUGAGAGUGGAAAGCUCAUCAAGUGACGGUAACUACCCAGAAAGGGACGGCUAACUACGUG
rnacentral:rRNA from 1 species